rnacentral:rRNA from 1 species
AGGACGAACGCUGGCGGCGUGCUUAACACAUGCAAGUCGAGCGGAAAGGCCCUUCGGGGUACUCGAGCGGCGAACGGGUGAGUAACACGUGAGCAACCUGCCCUUGGCUCUGGGAUAGCCUCCGGAAACGGGGAUUAAUACCGGACAUUCACUUUCUCCUGCAUGGGGGUUGGUGGAAAGUUUUUCGGCCAGGGAGGGGCUCGCGGCCUAUCAGCUUGUUGGCGGGGUAACGGCCCACCAAGGCGACGACGGGUAGCCGGCCUGAGAGGGCGAUCGGCCACACUGGGACUGAGACACGGCCCAGACUCCUACGGGAGGCAGCAGUGGGGAAUAUUGCACAAUGGGCGCAAGCCUGAUGCAGCGACGCCGCGUGGGGGAUGAAGGCCUUCGGGUUGUAAACCCUUUCAGCAGGACGAAGCGAAAGUGACGGUACCUGCAGAAGAAGCGCCGGCUAACUACGCGCCAGCAGCCGC